CAAAAAACUGGCCAACUGCAAGCCAAGAAGAUUAUAGGACUGUGUAUGUCCUACACACACAUUAUAUGUCCUACACGCACAGUGAUGAGGAGUGACAAAAUGAAGACUCCAGAAUCCUCUUUAUCAGAUCCUGAAUGUGCACUUUCUGAAGUGAAGUCCACUAUGUGCUGGGCACACAGAGAAUAGAGCAUGAAACAAAAGCAACAUGACCCUGCCCUCACCAAGACUACAGGGAGUGAUGGAGCAUACAACUUUGUUUCAGAAUGCAAUUCAGAUCUUCCCUUUCGCUUGGCUUCUUAAAACUUCUUUUGAGGAUGGUAAAAUUUCGUGUUAUAUUAAAUUUCAUCCUGUAACUGAUACUCUGGGAUGAUGUUGGCCAAUAACUAGCAAGACUUUAAAUAAUCAACUAGUUUAGGCAUUGCUUAGCACGCUCCAGCUGACUUCACAAGUAAAACCAUGUGAAGAAAGAAGGUUUUCAGAUGUCAAGUACAGUUCAGGCCACCUUAUAUUUAUUCCUCAUAAUUACCCUUGCAGGUAGGUACUAUCAUUAUCCCCAUUUUUACAGGUGAGGAAACUGAAGCACAGACAGAGUACAUAACUUUCCUCAGGUCACAGAGCUA
rnacentral:lncRNA from 10 species